UACGUAGGGGGGCAAGCGUUGUCCGGAUUUAUUGGGCGUAAAGAGCGUGUAGGCGGUUAGGUAGGUCCGUUGUGAAAACUCGAGGCUCAACCUCGAGACGCCGAUGGAAACCAUCUGACUAGAGUCCGGAAGAGGAGAGUGGAAUUCCUGGUGUAGCGGUGAAAUGCGCAGAUAUCAGGAAGAACACCCGUGGCUAAGGCGGCUCUCUAGUACGUGACUGACGCUGAGACGCGAAAGCGUGGGGAGCGAACAGG
rnacentral:rRNA from 1 species